UACGAAGGGGGCUAGCGUUGCUCGGAAUCACUGGGCGUAAAGCGCACGUAGGCGGAUAUUUAAGUCGGUGGUGAAAUCCUGGAGCUCAACUCCAGAACUGCCUCCGAUACUGAAUGUCUUCGAGUCCGGGAGAGGUGAGUGGAACUGCGAGUGUAGAGGUGAAAUUCGUAGAUAUUCGCAAGAACACCAGUGGCGAAGGCGGCUCACUGGCCCGGUACUGACGCUGAGGUGCGAAAGCGUGGGAGCAAACAGG
rnacentral:rRNA from 1 species